CCGGAAAGGGAGUAAAAGCCAUCCCAUAUCGGAAGUUGAGGAGAACAAAGCCUUCUUUAUAUAGAGGUGGAUACCUCAACCUAGUAGAGGCCUUUUGGGUGGGCCGUUCCCACUCCAAAGCAAAACUUUGCGGGCUAGGGCCCAGAGAGGACAAUAUCUACUAGCGGGCUAGCGGUCCUCAGUAGGGUGUUACAGAUGGUAUCAGAGCCAGGGCCCGAUUUGAUGUCCUGUCGUGCCUUCGAGGACGCAGACACCCUUUAAGGGGGUGGGGAAAGGGAGUAAAAGCCAUCCCACAUCGGAAGUUGAGGAGAACAAAGCCUUCUUUAUAUAGAGGUGGAUACCUCAACCUAGUAGAGACCUUUUGGGUGGGCCGUUCCCACUCCAAAGCAAGACCUUGCGGGUUAGGGCCCAGAGAGAACAAUAUCUACUAGCGGGCUCGCGGUCCCCAGAGGGGUGUUACAUCAACUCAAGGCACUAAAAGAGUUCUAAGACUUGCAGAGACAUCCACAUUUCCAAGUUUAUUUGUUCUUCUCUUUUCACUGUCUCCUCUAUAUUGUUCGAUGCACAAGCUUGAUUGCGGUACAUUUUCGCUCUCCUCUUGUUUUAGAUUUGUUUUUCUACUUGCAAAUUAGGAUCAUUAAAGUUUGAUUUCAUUACAAUGAGAAAGGUUUAGUUUACAUAGUAAUUUGAUUGAUGUUUUUUAAGAUUUUCAUUACAUUUUGUUUUAUGUUGGAAUCUUUAGUUCAUCAUAAACAGUAAUAAGAACACAUUGUUGAUCGAUAUUUGUUGCAAUUUUUAAUUGUUGUUUUUUGUUGUUGAGCUUUGUCAAUCAAGUGUACUAUGUAGUUUCAUCCUAUGCUAACAACAUACAUUGCUUGUGGAGGGCGGGGGAAGGGGAGUAAGUGGAUUAGGGAUGUUGUGUGUAAUUUGUAGGUUUGAAAGUAGAUUUUUAUUUGAUGUUAAAAGUAUACAUCAUUAUACCCUGUAUUGAUAUAUGAAUAACAAUAUUUCUUAAAAUAGUUUUUUGAAGGCGAGUUUAUAAAUUAUAUGGGAUUAAGAGAAACAUUUGUAGGUAGAGGAACUGUGUUUAGGAAGAUUUUACUGGUCAUGUAAUGAGAAGAUAAGUAGAUAAGUAGUUAACUACUGCCAAAGUUUAUCAUUCUAUUGGAACUUGUCAAACUUAAGGGAUUGUCCCUUUGAUAUAUGAAUAUGACUUAGGAGUGAAGAAUCAUGCUUGCCAAGAGAAGGCAUUUUCAUUUUGUUGCCUGACCGCAAAGCUUACCCCCUUUUUCAUGGUUACUCAUUGAAAAGGAUUGUCUUUGUUACAACAGAUGCAUACUCUUUUCUUUCAUUUUUUUUUUUGUUUGAAACGACUCUUUUCUUUGAUGGUAAUCUUAGAGUUGUAAAAAGCUCAUGGUGGUUUACUCAUUAACAACAUUUGAACUUUGUAUUUGGGCAUCAACAAUCUAGCUACUUUUAUCUAUAUAGUAUAUUAUAGUCCUUUCCAUUUAUAAGCUAUAUAUGUGGAACUUGUCACAUUUUCCUAGGUUGAUCUACCAUUAAAACAAAGCUUUCUUUGGUAUGAAUCAAGCAUGGGUGAAGGAGAUGGUCAGGGGUCUAUGUCGAUUUGCAAAAUGAGUGAAUGAGAACUAUGUGCCUGAUUUGCGAAAUGAAUGAAUGACAAUGCAGGAAUCUCAUGUCUGGUGUGUCAAGGUUUGUCUGGAUUAGAUAGCAGAAAUUGUGGGUCUGGAUCAGAUAUAGAUAUAAGUACUAGUUUUGAUGAGGAGAUUUAUGGUGGCCAUUAUUCUGUUGAGUUGCCUGACAAAUUCUAUAAUGGGGUUGAGCAGAAGCGCACUGGUUUUAUAGGUGACAAGGUUGGUCAAUGUUCCUGGCUUGUCAUUAAAGUCACAUUUUCACUCUGCUAAAUUCUCUUCAUUUCGAGUCCACCAUGGAGUGCAAAAAGCUGGUGACUUUGAUAGCUUUUGAGUCCAUAAGAGUGUUAUCUAAUGUGCCGGUACAAGAAUGAGUACCAGAAUACAAUUUGCUAUCUAGUUUUGUUAAAUUGGAGGAAAGUUGCCUGUCGCCAUGUAGGCAUGCCGCAAUUCACCUUAUUCUGCAGGGGUCUAGUAGAUUGGCAAUGAAUUUUUUUAGAGAAACCUAAAAUAUGAUGUUUCUGCCAUUUUCAUUCCCUUUAUUUUACAUUUUUACUGUUGGUAUUAACCUUAGAAGAUUGCAUUUUAAUCA